UGUAACGAGUGGGACUGCAGCCCCCGGGGCUGCCGCCAGGUAAGCGUGGGGCAGCUUCCACCCGGCAAAGCAGCCCGGGACAAAGGGAAUCCAAAGGGAAUCCCAAACCCUCCUUCGCCCGCCGUCGAAGCCCCUUCUGCUGGCCUGAGCGGGCUUCACCGGGGCAAACGGGGGGGCUGGGUUAGCAGCGGGGGCUGUACCCCCGCUCUUUGCUCACCGUUUCAGCUGGGUGCCGAGCCUGCCCCCGCAGGUGAGCGCCGCACACGGGGCGCUGCCCGCCUCCCGGCCCGGCCCGGUGCCGGUGCUCGGCGGCCCCCCCGGGCAGCCCCGCCGCAGCUUUCCGGCCCCUCCCUCUGCCUCCCGGGGUCCCCUCGCCCCUUCCCGAGCGGAGCGGAGCCGUGCGGUAAGUGCGGAGCCCCGGGCGCGGAGUCCCUGUCGCGACAGAGCAGCGCGGCGACAGCUCGCUGUCGGGGAGUCCCCCGGCCCCUCGGAGCGGGGGACGCGCUCCAGAGCCGUUUCCAGGCUACCGGGAUAAAUAGGCAAAUAUUUCCUUCCACUGCUUCUCUUCUCUCUGCCUCUCUUUGUUGUUGUUGUUGUUCUGAAAGUGGCAAAUUGUCAAGGAAAAAAAAAAAAAGAAAGAAAGAAAAAAGUUGCUGUAGAUGUUUCGGGGCUGUUGCUUUAUUGAAAACAACUCCCUGGGUGGAGGCGAGAGCAGCCUGCGGUUCGGUGGGAGUGUUUGCAAAUCAAAUGUCACUUGGAGGUGGGGGAAAUCUGGCAGACCCGUUCCGUAGGAGCCUUCUCCAAGUCGUGCAGGCUCGCUGGCCUCAUGUGAGCUUAACGAAAACCAACGGGAAGUUUGAAAGGAAAGGGAGAAGAUGGAUGGGAAAGCAAAGGAAAGUGCUUGCUGCCUGCUUCUGCCAGCAUGCUUGGGUUCCUGGAAAGAGCGGUGCUGGGCAUGAACUGGCUGCCCCCUUGGGAGAGCGGGGCAGGGUCCGUGGUGGGGACAUUCGGGGGACCAGGCUGGGAGGUGGGCACAGCAAUGCAGCCCCCAGCAGCAGAAUUGCUCAUGGUGUGGUCAGGGCUUGA
rnacentral:lncRNA from 1 species